rnacentral:tRNA from 1 species
GGGCGAGUAACUCAGCGGUCAGAGUGCCACCUUGCCAAGGUGGAAGCCGUUGGUUCGAAUCCAACCUUGCCCU